rnacentral:tRNA from 1 species
GGAAAGCUGCCGGAGUGGCUGAACGGGCUUGACUCGAAAUCAAGUGUACGGGUUACCGUACCGGGGGUUCGAAUCCCUCGCUUUCCG